UACGAAGGGGGCUAGCGUUGCUCGGAAUCACUGGGCGUAAAGCGCACGUAGGCGGAUCGUUAAGUCAGGGGUGAAACUCCUGGAGCUCAACUCCAGAACUGCCUUUGAUACUGGCGACCUUGAGUUCGGGAGAGGUGGAGUGGAACUGCGAGUGUAGAGGUGAAAUUCGUAGAUAUUCGCAAGAACACCAGUGGCGAAGGCGGCUCACUGGCCCGAUACUGACGACUGAGGUGCGAAACGAUGGG
rnacentral:rRNA from 1 species